UAAAUUAAAAAUAUCACAUUAUUUACGAAAAACUUGCAAAUUUGAAUUAAGGGAAAAGUGUAAUAAAAUUAAAAUUUUUUGAUUCAAACUUUUUAAGCUGCAAUUUAUAUAAAAAUAAUAUUACAAUUUGUUUGUUUUAUUUUGUGUAUUUAUAUAGAUUUCUUUUUAAAAGAAGAUCCGAGAGUGUGUGUUUAAGUUUUUAGAACUGUGAGUAAAUUUUUGUACGACUUACUCCCGCGAGUGGAAGGAAAACUCUCGGGUUUUUGUUAAAUCUUUCGGUGUUGCGAUUCCUUUUAUUAUUUUUGUUUUUAUGAUUAUUUUGCUUAUUUUUGUGUCAACUCGUUUAAAUUGAAAAUUUGGUUUUAUACAAAAAGAACGUUUUUUGUAUUCUGCAUGAGAAAAAAGGAUAAAUAAAAUUCGGUAUAUUAAACGAAUCAGAAAGAGCAUACAACAUAUACUCCAAAAACGCAAAAAGGAGUAGAGAAUAAAUAAAUGAAGCAAAAUUAAUGAAAAAUUAAGUGAAAAUUAAAUGAAAAGUGUUUCCAAUUAAAACUAAAUUUAAAUCACAUUCAACUUGGCAACUAGAAAUAUGCUACACAAAAAAGUAAAAUAUUGUGCAAUUUUGGAAUAUAAAAUGCUAAUGAUACAAAUAAAUGACUGUCAUCAGUUUUGAAAAUGGAGCAGCAACAAAAAACAACAAAUGCAAUGGAUAACAUUUACGCACACACAAACAAAUGUAAAUGAAUAUUGAAGCAACAAAUGAAUGAAAAUAAACAGCAGAAGAAACAACAACAAAGAAAACAAUAAAACAUAAAACUAGAUUUCAAUUAACGGCAAAUAAAUGUCAUAAUUACAAAUUUAAUUAAAGCAAGCAUAUCUCUUUUGCCCACUGUCUCUCUUCCACUCACUAUGAUGACAAGCACUAACAAAAUUAAUGGAAACAACUAAAGAGCGAUAAUAAUUAUUAAAUUUAACUACCAAAAGGCAAACAUAAACAAAUACUCAAAUAGCAGCUCACUAAAAACAAAAAUAAAACUACAUCAUACAAAAAAUCUAAUAACAAAACAAUAAUAAAAACAUUGCAGCAACAUUAAUUUCAAUUAAAUAUAUAAAAAUAAUAACAAUAAAAAAAUGCAGGAAUUAAUUUAUUAAUAUACACAAAACAAAAAAUGCUAAUUGUUAAAAACAUCAAGAAUUCAGAAACAAAAUAACAUAAAUACAUAUUUUAUACUCCCUACAUAUUAUGCAGUAAAUGAGAUAAAAAUAGUAAAUUUAAUAGAAAACUAUAUUGUUUAACUUUAUUAUUGGAUGUGAUGUUGUAUAAACAAAUUUACUUACUAACACAUACAUAUACACACAUAUGUUUUUAAACUCAUACAAACAUAAAACUGAAGAGAACUAUUUAAAAGCUACAUUAAAACAAAAAACUAAAUUUAAAUCCUAUCCUUCAUUAAAGGAUCUACAUUAACAAAAACGGCAAUAAUAACACACACAAGAGGAAAAACUUUACGUUACAGUAAACAAACUUUUAUGUCAAGAUACUAAUGUUAAACACGUUUAAGCCUAUUGAUCCCAAUCAUGAUGGACUAUACUAGCUUGGGCUGUUGUGCUUUGGCAUUUAUUUUGUAUUUAAAUACAUUAAAUUCUGGAUUUGUUUAUGAUGACAGACGUGCUAUUUUAGCCAACACAGAUGUCUCAGGCACUGCGUCCUGGCAGAGUGCCUUUCUACAUGACUACUGGGGCACGCCGCUAACUGACAGUGGCUCUCACGGUUCUUAUCGACCGUUGACAGUUCUCACCUUCAAAUUGAAUUUUAUACUAAGUGGCUAUAAUCCUUGGGGCUUCCAUCUGGUCAACAAUUUACUUCACUGUUUAGCAACGGGCUUGGUAGUGAAGGUGGCUCGACACUUUCUCUCCUCAGUGUGGGGUGUUGUAGCGACGGGAGCACUCUUCGCUGCACACCCCAUUCAUACAGAAGCUGUAGCAGGAAUUGUAGGCAGAGCUGAUUUGGCCGCCUGUGUCUGUUAUUUACUUACCUUUCUCACUUAUAUGCGUCACAUUGCGUGGCGAGAGAGAGGCGAUCCACUGCAGUGGUUAGCUUUAAGUUUAACUUUAGUUUCCUCUAUAGCUGCAUUAUUGUUUAAAGAAACAGCCAUCACUGCUUUAAUAAUAUGCGGAAUGUUUGAUGUGAUACGUGGCUUAAGCGGUUUAAGAGACAAGCACCGCAUACGUUCGGUAUGUGUGUUAACUUCAGUUCUUCUUGGCACGGUUUAUUGUCGUUUGGCGGUGAUACCUCGCCCCCAAACAUUAUUCUCAACUGCAGACAAUCCCAUAGCGAAAACCAACUCCGCGUGGACACGUUUUUUGACAUUUCUUUAUCUUCCGGUAUUCAAUUUCAAACUAUUGCUAAAUCCACAAGUGCUUAGUUUUGAUUGGGGUAUGAAUGCAAUACCACGCAUAAACUCCAUAUGGGAUGGACGCAACGUGUUGAGUAUGGGCUUCUAUGGAGCAUUAACCUACACGGCCUGGCAAUGUUGCCGUCUACUGCUGCAACGCCAUAAGCGUCUGCAAUACUACGCACACUAUAAAACCAGGCAACAGGCGAGUUCGUCUUAUGGAGUAACGGGGGCACAAUACCAUUUACAACCACAAAUGCAGCGUAAGUCACGCACUAAACGAAAAUAUUGCAAACAGGUACAGUGUCAAACCUCAAAUGGAACAACAGUAACAGUAACAAGUGACAACCAAACACAACCCUACUACAUGAUGACUCCACCACCAUCACCACCCACACAACACUAUUCAACAAGCACGCCAAUACUAACAACAAACUAUUCUUCGCUUAACAGCACCACAGCAUAUCUCAAGCACAAACUAUUGGGCAUAAAUAAUCCCCACAUCUGUGGUGAUUGCAAACAGGAAUUGAGUUCCGGUCAUCAUACAAACUCAUGUCGGGUGUUGAACAAUAACAAUAAUGUUUUAACACUGAACCACUCAAAUGUUUAUCACACAGGCUGCUGUUGCCAUCAGCUAAUGUCUUCCAGUGACGUGUCGUCCAACGGCCCACCACCACAAAUCUUUACAUUUGCUUUGCAAAAGGCUAUAGCCUCAGUGAUUGCAGCACGUAGUUCCCGCAGUAGUAGUAGUUGCAGCAACUCAACAACGGCCAGUAACAAAAGUUCCGAUAGUAGUGCUUCAUCUACAUGCAGUUCAGGAUCAUCACUAUCCUCGAAGUCAUUAUCGUCACAUAGAAAUCUUUGCUUGGCAACAUGGUCGUCGAUACAGCAAGAGGAUUUCAUGUUAAGUGAUAUACCUCACAAGUGUGCAAAUGUCAGUGUCUUGUUGAUGGCACUAGCUUUUUUAACGCUACCUUUUCUUCCCGCCACAAAUCUUGUCUUCUAUGUGGGGUUUGUAGUGGCAGAACGCCUGUUAUAUUUGCCCAGCAUUGGUUUUUGUCUAUUAGUCGGCUUUGGCUUCGGCAAAUUAAUAGAUCGUGUGCGAACGAGUAAAAACCUCCGUCAUCAACAAAUGCUUAUACUGAGUUUGUGUCUGGUGUUGUGUGCUCUGAGUGCGAGGACAAUAAAACGCAACUUGGAUUGGCGAGAUGAGGAGAGUUUAUAUCGUAGUGCUGUGCAAAUAAAUCCACCUAAAGCUCUUGGCAAUUUAGGAAGUGUCCUUAGUUCUCAGGCUCGUUACAAGGAAGCUGAGGAAGUUUUGUUAGAAGCCAUUAAAUAUAGGCCUAAUAUGGCAGAUGUACAUUUUAAUCUAGGAAUUUUAUAUCAAAAUCAACAAAAUUAUAAAAAUGCUGUAAAAAGUUUUAAGAACGCCUUGAAUUUUCGACCUAACUUAGCGGUGGCCUACUUAAAUUUGGGUAUUUCGCUGAUAGCUUUGGGAAAAUGUCAGGAUGCCGCUCAAAUCUUACAAGAAGGCUCCAAGGUUGAUGGUACCGGAGUGCGUGACCGUUCGGCUCAUGAAAACGCCAGGAUUUCAUCAUAUCUUCAAUUGGGAGCACUUUAUGUCGAACAGGGCAAAUUACAACGUGCUUUAGCAGUUUAUCGUGAAGCUUUGCAUGAACUUCCACAUCAUUACUACAAACGAGAUGUGAUCUAUCAUCGUAUAGGAGACAUUUUUGGUCGCUUAAAACAGUGGGAUGAAGCUGAGAGACAUCAUAGAGCAGCUUUAGAGAUGCAACCAAAUCAGGUGGCUGCACAUCUCUCUUAUGGCGUUACCUUGGCAAGAAAUUAGAGUCUCAGAAGCUGAAAUGUGGUUUAAGCGCGCUUUGCAACUGGCACCUGAAGAAGCCAGCGUUUAUCAUCAUUACGCUGAAUUCUUAACGACACAAUCUCGGUUAGCUGAAGCUAUUUCAUAUAGAGUUAAAGCUGCU
rnacentral:misc_RNA from 1 species